AAGUAGCAAGGUUAAGCACUUAAGGUGUGGAGCCGUAGCGAAAGCGAGUUUUACCUGAGCGUUCAGUUACUUGACGUAGACCCGAAACCGGGCGACCUACCCAGGAGCAGGAUGAAGCGAAAGUAAAAUUUCGUGGAGGUCCGAACCCACGAGCGUUGAAAAGCUCGGGGAUGACUUGUGGGUAGCGGUGAAAUUCCAAUCGAGCCCGGAGAUAGCUGGUUCUCCCCGAAAUAGCUUUAGGGCUAGCCUCAAGGUGAGAGAUACGGAGGUAGAGCACUGAAUGUCCUAGGGGGUAUUGCACCUACCGAAGACUAUCAAACUCCGAAU
rnacentral:rRNA from 1 species